rnacentral:rRNA from 1 species
ACUCCUACGGGAGGCAGCAGUGGGGAAUAUUGCACAAUGGGCGCAAGCCUGAUGCAGCCAUGCCGCGUGUAUGAAGAAGGCCUUCGGGUUGUAAAGUACUUUCAGCAGUGAGGAAGGUGGAGUCGUUAAUAGCGGCCUCAUUUGACGUUAGCUGCAGAAGAAGCACCGGCUAACUCCGUGCCAGCAGCCGCGGUAAUACGGAGGGUGCGAGCGUUAAUCGGAUUUAUUGGGUUUAAAGGGUCCGUAGGCGGAUUAAUAAGUCAGUGGUGAAAUCCCAUCGCUUAACGAUGGAACUGCCAUUGAUACUGUUAGUCUUGAAUGAGGGUGCAGUGGUUGGAAUGUGUAGUGUAGCGGGUGAAAUGCAUAGAUAUUACACAGAACACCGAUUGCGAAGGCAGAUC